GUAGUAUACAUAAUUUUUUAAAGUAAUCUGCCCCCAGCACGAGUACAAGGGACUACAAGUCACUAUAUUGUAUAAAUUAAUUUCAACUUUAAAAGAAAAUGGUUCACAUAAGAUAUUGUUGCUUUAUAGUUCAGGGACCAAGGGUCUUGUGCAGGCUCUGUGAGCAUAAAUUUUGUGCUUAUAUGGUUAUUUCAUGAAUCUUAUUCAAAUUUGUGAAUUUAUUGGGUCAAAAAUGUGUAACGCCAAAUGUUGGCAUAAUUGACCUGUAUGAAGAGCAACUGCAGAUUAGCCCCUCUACACACAAUGGAAGCCAGGAAUAUCCGUUUCUCAAUAAUAAUUUUGCAAUCAAUUGAACCCUGCCGACGGUCCCUGUAACUCAACCAUAUGUAACCUUAGUGUUUCAAAUACAACUCUCAUUGUAAUACCUUUUCACUAAAUAUUAUUAGCUUUCUCGUUAGUAAUGUAAUUCAUAUGACUAAUCAAUAUUUCGUUUUUAUUUCUCUACAACUCUUUACUUCGCAUUUCCAAGAAUCACUUGGUUGCAAACAAUUGACGCACAUAAAUCAUCAAUGCAC
rnacentral:lncRNA from 1 species